AACGAACGCUGGCGGCAUGCCUAACACAUGCAAGUCGAACGAGACCUUCGGGUCUAGUGGCGCACGGGUGCGUAACGCGUGGGAACCUGCCCUUAGGUUCGGAAUAACUCCCCGAAAGGGGUGCUAAUACCGGAUAAUGUCUUCGGACCAAAGAUUUAUCGCCUUUGGAUGGGCCCGCGUUGGAUUAGCUAGUUGGUAGGGUAAAAGCCUACCAAGGCGACGAUCCAUAGCUGGUCUGAGAGGAUGAUCAGCCACACUGGGACUGAGACACGGCCCAGACUCCUACGGGAGGCAGCAGUGGGGAAUAUUGGACAAUGGGCGAAAGCCUGAUCCAGCAAUGCCGCGUGAGUGAUGAAGGCCUUAGGGUUGUAAAGCUCCUUUACCCGGGAUGAUAAUGACAGUACCGGGAAAAUAAGCUCCGGCUAACUCCGUG
rnacentral:rRNA from 1 species